UACGAAGGGAGCUAGCGUUGUUCGGAAUCACUGGGCGUAAAGCGCACGUAGGCGGAUGUGUCAGUCAGGGGUGAAAUCCCGGAGCUCAACUUCGGAACUGCCUUUGAUACAGCACAUCUGGAGUCCGGAAGAGGUGGGUGGAAUUCCUAGUGUAGAGGUGAAAUUCGUAGAUAUUCGGAAGAACACCAGUGGCGAAGGCGACUUACUGGACACAUAUUGACGCUGAGGUGCGAAAGCGUGGGGAGCAAACAGG
rnacentral:rRNA from 1 species